rnacentral:pre_miRNA from 1 species
AUGUAGGGUAAUCUGUCUUUAGGUAGAAAUUAAUUAGUCUGUAAGAUGAAUCCUGGAUAGUUUUCCCUUCGUCAAGCAUCUUGU